rnacentral:lncRNA from 1 species
CUGGAACAUAAUGUUGGACAAUCUCCAUUUCCAUAUGGUAAUUGAAGUCAAACAGGAGCAAACCAGGUGCAAUUCAAUCCUUAUUCCUAGCAAUGAUUCCCAAAAAAGCAAAACCUCACUAGACCGAGGCCCAUUGCUAUGGGGACUACACUAGAUAAGAGAAUGACUAAGGUAAUUGCCAAUAGUUUCUAUUGAAAGACAGGCUGGCUCUUUAAAAAGGGCGCCCUCCUAAUCUCAUUUUGAUAGGAAGAAUGACUAAGGUAAUUGCCAAUAGUUUUGGGGACUACACUAGAUAAGAGAAUGACUAAGGUAAUUGCCAAUAGUUUCUAUUGAAAGACAGGCUGGCUCUUUAAAAAGGGCGCCCUCCUAAUCUCAUUU